GACGAACGCUGGCGGCGUGCCUAAUACAUGCAAGUCGAGCGAACAGACGCUGAGCUUGCUCCUUUGUCGUUAGCGGCGGACGGGAGAGUCACACGUGUAUCAUCCACCUAUCAGUCUGGUAUCAUCUCGGGAAUCCGGCGCUAACACCGGAUAAUCUAUUGCUCCGUAUGGUUCAUUAGUGAAAGUCGGCUUUGCUGUCACUUCUAGCUGGAUCCGCGCCUCUUUAGCUAGUUGGUAAGGUAACGGCUUACCAAGGCUACGAUGCGUAGCCGAGGUAAGAGGGUGAACGGCGACAGAGGAAGUGAGAGGCGGUCCAGGCUCCUACGGGAGGCCGAGGUAGCGAAGGUUCGGCGAUGGGGGGAAGCCUGACGGAGCGGCGCCGCGUGAGUGAUGAAGGGCUUCGGAUCGUAAGACUCUGUUAUUAGGGAAAAACAAAUGUGUAAGUAACUAUGCACGUCUUGACGGUACCUGAUAAGAAAGCCACGGCUAACUACGUG
rnacentral:rRNA from 1 species